rnacentral:rRNA from 1 species
AUUGAACGCUGGCGGAAUGCUUUACACAUGCAAGUCGAACGGUAGAGGGGGCAACCCCUCGAGAGUGGCGAACGGGUGAGUAAUAUAUCGGAACGCGCCCAGUCGUGGGGGAUAACGUAGCGAAAGCUACGCUAAUACCGCAUACGAUCUAUGGAUGAAAGCGGGGGAUCGCAAGACCUCGCGCGAUUGGAGCGGCCGAUAUCAGAUUAGGUAGUUGGUGAGGUAAAGGCUCACCAAGCCGACGAUCUGUAGCUGGUCUGAGAGGACGACCAGCCACACUGGGACUGAGACACGGCCCAGACUCCUACGGGAGGCAGCAGUGGGGAAUUUUGGACAAUGGGCGCAAGCCUGAUCCAGCAAUGCCGCGUGCAGGAUGAAGGCCUUCGGGUUGUAAACUGCUUUUGUACGGAACGAAACGGCGAGCUCUAAUACAGUUUGCUAAUGACGGUACCGUAAGAAUAAGCACCGGCUAACUACGUGCCAGCCGCCGCAGUAA